UGUCAGACUACACACAGUGUUGGAAGUUGAAACAUCCAAAGUGGCUCUGUGCACCAGGCUGGAUGUAGCGCAUCGUGGAAAGGAAAAGUUUCAGAUAUGUAGCUGCCCCUUCAGAUUCUUAUCUUUCUACGUCAUCCUUAGUAUAUUGAAGAAGAAAUACACAUUGCUGGUUGUAGACGGGUGAUUGGCCAUCUGGGUAGAAGACCUCAGAGCGCUGCCUCUGCUUACAGCUUGCAGUAGAUUUUCCUCAAAAGUAUCAGACACUUGGUAAUUUGAUCAGACAGACCCAAUCUCCAAAAGGAUCUUCAUUCAACUUCGAGUGCCUACUAUAAAGGGUGUGCGGUCACCUGUGUAAAAUGGAAGCGAAUGAGAAGAGCACUCUUAUUUAGUGAGAAGGUGCAGAAUGGAAUCUUCGGUUAUCUAUUCUACAACACCACAGCCUGGCUCUGGCAUUCAUUAUGAGGAGUUCACGGUGAAUCUAGAGGAUGUGUUCCGGCAUCAUAGUCGGGCGUGUAAGAGUGCCACCGAAGCCGUUCAGGUCUGUGGACAAAGAGGCAGAGGUCUUCAGGGAAGAAUAGAAUGACAGACGGGUAGCAAAUCUUUGAUGCUUCGUUCUUAACUCGAGACCGGAAUCAUGAGAGCUUUUGAAGCGGAGGGUUAAAAUAAAAGUCUCUGCAACUCGGUUAUCUGAAUCCCUGAAAAGAAAUCUCUGCAACUCUGCAAGAUGAUGGGUGGAUUCACUAUAUGAAGACUCAAGAAGCACCCUUGGAACAUUUUACAUUCAAGGUAAUCACACUCACAGUGCUGCCCAUGUAGCAAGUACAGCAGCUUCAGGUCAUACAUCUGAACACGAGGUGUCGGGCUCCUGGUACUCUGAGUGCAGCACCAGUUAAUACAAAGCAGUUCGGGGAUUCAGGUUUCCAUCCUUGCAGCUCAUAUGUGAUGUCUAAGAUUUAGGUUCAACCAGGGUGCUUGACUAAAAGUGCGGCAUCUUUUUUUCCGCCCACUAAGGUUGCGAAUCUAAAUGAAAUUACUGAAGGGUAUGACCUUACCUGAAUAUUAUUGUUCAUCCUUCAAGGCAGCUGCUCCGUAGCCAGAAGGACCUUUAG